rnacentral:lncRNA from 1 species
CCUUAAAGGGGACGGUGGGACCCAGACUCUCUCUCUCUCUCUCUCUCUCUGCUCCAGGUCAAGAAGUGACUGUCUAUUCCAUGACGUGCGGCCACCUUGAGCCUCAUCAGAGGCCCAGCGGAGGGACACACAUCCUCGGGGACCCCGACGGCCCUCGGACUGGGUCGGCCUGUGCUCUUCAGCCUCGCCGGGCACCUCACGCAGCAGGACCACGAGCACACGGGUCUGUGGGGGUCUGCCCAGGUGAUGCUCUCCCCAGAGGACACUGGGCCGUUGGGGACAGGUGUGGUGCCACCUAGGGAGGCCUGGCCUGGAGCAGGUAGAGGCAGGGACACUGUGGGGCACCCCGAGUACCCAGGACGCCAUUGGAGAACGACCCGGCCCAGUCACAGAGCUGAGCUCAGGAGGCCGCGACUCAAACCCUCUCGCCGUGGUAACAGCCGCCAGCAUUCACAGCACUUGGAAUUCACCGUGUCCUUCCUUCCUCGGGGGGCCUUCGCCAGGUCAGGGCGUCUGGGGCCUCCUGGGGGCCUCCUGGGGGCCCGUGAACUUGCACACCCCACGCCCCCUGCAGCCGCAGCCAGGAGCCGUCAGGCAGGGUCCCCGUCCUGGUGCGAGGGUGCCCAUGUGAUCUUCCUGUUGUGAAGGCAGGCGGGAGCCCCGUCCAGGGGCCAGACCUCCUCCCUACGCACAGGGGCCACUUUCCGGGAGCACCUGCUGCCACCACCCCAUUUAGAAACCGGUCUCUGCAGGAGUGGCAGGACGGGGCAGCCCCAGUCCAGUGACAGGUGUCCUCCUAGGAAGGCACUGGCAGGAGGCAGCGUGAUGGCGGAGGCUGGACGCCUGGAGCCCCGGACGGGGAGAGGCAGGAGGCCUCCCUGAGCCUCUGGAGGGCAGGGCCGCACACCUGGACCUCUGGCUUCGGGCCCCCAGGACCAGGGAGAAUCCAUCCCUGGGUAGGCAGCCCAGGACACCCUAGGUGAGACCAGGCGGGUGACAGUGGGCCUAUCGUCACCACACACGACUAAACUGGUCAGGGUCACUCCAAUUUGGGGACUAAAUAAAGACCCAGACACAGACAGUACCUUUCCUCUGGGUUCAGUGACCGCCCCUCAGCGGCAGCUCCCACAAGGGGGGCAGGCGAGAGCGAGAGCCGCGCUGAAGCCUUUUACUGGGGAGAAGCCCCUCAGGUGAGCCAGGGGUCGGGCUGCAGGGGGCUGAGGUGGGGUCUUGCUGUCAUCGGGCCCCCUGACCUCUGGGAAGGCCACGCCAUCUCAGGGCUGUGUGGGGAUCGCAGAGCGAGCGGGAAGGCGCAUGGGUGGCCCGGCCACCGGGCAGCGUGGGUCCAGUCCCCCUGGCGCUCAGUGCCCACAGGCCCCCGGGCCCAGGGUGUCUCGCACCUCCCCACCCUCUCACGGGGGUUCGGGGCUAAGGGCACGCGGUUCCCCGUGGCAGCUCCCAGCCGUCUCCGUCCCUGCUCGAGCCCCAGCCCCCCUUGUCCCCGAGAGCUGCAGGGACGCAACAUGCACAUCCCUGGACACGGCUCAGGGUCCCUGGGCAGAGCCCCCAGAAUCAGGGCCCCGGUUUGGGACAGCCUGGACACACGUGUCACCAGGCUUAAGAACGAACAGCUGUGUCCUCCCCUCCUUAUUCUAUCGAUUGAUUUUUGGUGGCACUGGGGGUUGAACCGGGGUGCUCUGCCACUGAGCUGACCCCCAGCCCUUUUUAUUUUAUUUGACACUGGGUCUUGCAGAGUUGCCCAGGCUGGCCUUGGACUUGCCGUCCUCCUGCCUCAGCCUCUGGGGCAGCUGGGAUGACAGGCGCGGCCACCACGAAGCCUGCACGACCCAUUCCCAAGGCACUGAGCAGCGGCUGCCUCUCCUCAGCCCUGGAGUCCCACCCUCACUUCUAACCUGUCACCCCGGCACCAGACACUUCACUCUGCGACCAACAUCGGGCAACGUCUGUCACCUGGCGGCGUCUGCUCGGGGACCAGCAUCUCUGAGCCCAGGGGAGGAAUCCCCUCCGCCUCUCCUUGGUCGGGUAUGACUGGGCCCACACUGUGUAGCCACGCGGGUGGAAGUGGCUGCUGGAGUGGCCGACCUGGGGGAGCGCUCCAGUGGCACACCCCAAGACUCCUCUUUGAAAAGAAAAAUAAAUAA